AGGAUGAACGCUGGCGGCGUGCCUAACACAUGCAAGUCGAACGUCCUGUCUCGCAAGAGGCAGGGAGUGGCGGACGGGUGAGUACCACGUGGGUGAUCUACCGUGAGGUGAGGAAUACCGGCGAGAAAUCGCCGACAAGACCGCAUAGCCUCGGUGCAAGCCGAGGAAAGCUUUCUCGAGAGAGGGAGCGCCACACGAGGAGCCUGCGCCCGAUUAGCUAGCUGGUGGAGUAACGGUUCACCAGGGCGACGAUCGGUAGCUGGUCUGAGGGGACGAUCAGCCACACUGGGAUUGAGAACGGCCCAGACUCCUACGGGGGGCAGCAGUGAGGAAUUUUCGGCAAUGGGGGAAACCCUGACCGAGCAACGCCGCGUGCAGGAAGACGGCCUUCGGGUUGUAAACUGCUUUCUUUGGGUACGAGCAAGGACGGUACCAGAGGAAUCAGCCCGGCUCACUACGUGCCAGCAGCCGC
rnacentral:rRNA from 1 species